GCGCACGUUGCACAGCUUGGAUAGUGCGGUCGCUUCCGGAGCGACAGGUCGUGGGAUCGAAGCCUUCCGUGCGCA
rnacentral:tRNA from 1 species